rnacentral:rRNA from 1 species
CGUGUAGGCGGUUUGGUAAGUCAGAUGUGAAAGCUCCGGGCUUAACCCGGAAAGUGCGUUUGAAACUGCCAGACUUGAGUGCGGGAGAGGAAGGUGGAAUUCCCAGUGUAGAGGUGAAAUUCGUAGAUAUUGGGAGGAACACCGGUGGCGAAGGCGACCUUCUGGACCGUCACUGACGCUGGGACGCGAAAGCGUGGGGAGCGAACAGGAUUAGAUACCCUGGUAGUCC